CUUGUAGUCGCGGAGCCCGGGCGCCCGCGGCAGCUGAUGUCAGGGGCUGGGCUGCCGCACGAGUGGCCUGCCGGGUGCGGGGGAAAAUGUUCGAGCGCGAGCCCCCGCGGGGCCACUGGGGAGACGGAGGGCAGAAACGGGGGCCGUUGGAGCCAGCCUAAGCUUGGGUGUAAGCUCUGUCACUCAGAGCUCGGGACUAGGCGCUUUUGGGUGCAAAACGAGUGGCCCACACAACUCCCUGGCUAGAAGAGGCCCGAGUCUGGGAGGGGAGAGAUUUGGAGAAACCGAAUCUCAACUCCAUGAAGUCAGUGACGUGUCUCUUCUCUGCUGUACUCCGGGUGCCUGAAAUGUGCCUGGCAGGAAACUUUCAUUUUGGCCACAUAUGUACCUGUGUGCAGGCAUGUGUGCUUCUGUGAGCAUGCCCUGGAUCUCAAUGCCAAGGUAUUUCUUUCUGUGUGUCUUGGUCAAAAACAUUUGAAACCACCAGACUUUCUAGUUAAUCAAGCCAGACUCUUGUAAAGUUUGCAAAUUUAGACCAUGUUGGUUGGAGUUCCAGAAUUGCUUUCGCUGAGCUGUAUUUGGUGCUUAAGAUUUUCGUGAUACUGACUCCUGAAAUGAAUGCUGGGAUAAUGAGGAAAAUGACCUCUAGGUUGCCCAAUCCAGAGGAUGGUUUCAGACUGGGGCUCGGGUGAGACAUUCACUCUCAAGGUCGUGCAAGUCCUGGCUGGGCACGUUCCUAUGGAAUUCAUUCUUCUCUUGAUUCCUUCGUGUUGUGUUCUUCUGGUUCUUUGCUGGUUCUUCUGGUUCUGCAUCUUUGGUUUCUUCUCUGCCCAACCCUAAAAUGAGUGGAAACCCUCAUGGUGCUUCUUCCCAUAAUGCAUUUUUACAGCAGUGGCUGCCGGCACAUCAUGCCUCCUGGCGAGGCAUCCCCACACUGACUUUGGGUUUGGCCACGUGACUCUCUUUGGCCCAUGAGGUCUUAGCUUGGUAGCAAAUGUGUGAAGUCCUGUGCACUGAGACUGCCCACUUAGGAUGCUGCCCUGAGGCCAGUGCAGAGAAGCCCAAAUGAAAGAGCACAUGGAAAGAGAGGCCCAAGUGUUUCAGCUGAACCCAGCGCCCUGCUGACCGCUGGCAUCAACUUGACAUGUGAGUGAGCUGAUUUGGGACCUUCUAGCUCAUGGUCCAGAAGAAUGCAGCCACACAAUGAGUCAGGUGAAACCAGAAGAGGAACGGCCCCACCAGUUUAUAGAGGAUUAGCAAAACACAGCUGACCCUUGAACAACACAUGUUAAAAUUGCUCGGGUACACUCACUUAUACGCUCAUUUUUUUCCAGUAGUGAAUAAGGCAGUGGUAUGUGAUCCAUGGUUGGUGGACUCUGUGGAUGGACCUGUAUAUAUGGAGGAACCACAUAUAUGGAAGGCCAACUAGAAAUUAUAAGCAGAUUUUUGAUUGGGCAGAGAGUCAGUAUCCCUAAUCCUCACCUUACUCAAGGGUCAGCUGUAGCUGUGUUUAGCUGCUAAGAUUUGGAAGGGUUUAUUGUGCAGAAGUCCGUGCCUGAUACAUUCCCUCAACCCUCAUCUUCUCUCACUCUAUGGGUGGACUUAAUCCCUGGCUUCUAACGCGUUGACAGCCCUCAAUUUGACAAUUCUAGCUCAGAACAUGUUUCCGAAGCCCUGAUUCACCUUUCUAACUUCCCAGUGGUGGGUUACAUCCACCUAAAUGUUCACAGGCUUGGGCCAACCCAGUCUGCAUAAACCUUACCUCAUCACCUUACCCGCCUCAGGCCAUCUCCUCUUCCUCCUGUAAUCUGUCCGGGUUAAGAAGCAAAAGGUUGGGCGUUCCAUUGUGGCUCAGCAAAGAACCCGACCAGUAUCCAUGAGGAUGCAGAUUCAAUCCCUGGCCCCGCUCAAAAGGUUAAGCAUCCGGCGUUGCCAUGAGCUGCUGUGUAGGUUGCAGAUGCGCCUCGUAUCUAGUGGGGCUGUGGCUGUGGCUGUGGUGUAGGCCAGCAGCUGUAGGUCCUUUUCACCCUCUAGUGUGGGAACUUCCAUAUGCCACAGGUGCAUCCUAAAAAGCCAAAAAAAAGAAAAAAGAAAAGGGGGGGGCAAAAGAUUGACACAGUGAAAGAUAAGAGGCUGAGGGGCCUCAACACCCUUACCAUUCACACAUCCUGGUGCCUCAGUUUCCUCAUCUGUAAAUUGGGGUUGCCUUAAGAACUCAAGGUGGUAUGUGUAGGUGCUGAGUACAGGCCUGGCCAAGGGGAAGAGCCUGAUAGGCAUGAAUUGUUGCUGUUAUUUCAUUUGUGCCCCAGGCCGGCCUUACUGCAGCUGUUUGAUAGCCUGGGAACUGAUUCUGGAGAGCAUCAGGGCCUGAGAUUUUAAAGGUAGGAUUUGGGACAAAUUGUGCAUCACUUUCUUGAUCCCUAAAAUGCUAAUGUCUGGAGGGCUGCCUCCCAGGAAGGUGGUGAGAUGUUGGUCAUUAAGUCAUUGGGACAGGAAAACCGUAGCUGAGUCCUGCAGAACUAACACCCAGCCUCGUUUGGAUUGUAAGCACAGGGGAGGGAGGGCUGGGAUGAUGUGGGCCUUGUUCACUCAAGACUUGUGCGAUGACUCAGGAUCAAUGCAGGUGGUGGCUGGCCAGUGGGGGUGGCCUGGGGGCCCUGAGUGACAGCAGAUCCAAAGCAGCCCCUGAGUUCCUUCUCGGCAGGUCACAGGAGAGGGGGCUGUACCCAGGACAUCUUUUUGGACAUUGCAAAAGUGACUUGCUCUCUUGGAAGGAAUCUGGUCUCUUUAAAAUCCUUUGUGAAGAUGCAGGAACAUCUGCAGUGGGCACUGCUGGGACUGCUCAGGAGAUAUUAGCCACAUCACGGUGAAAAGAGCAAUUUAUCAGAGGAUGUUCCUUCCAGCGACGGAGAACCUUUCAGAACUUGAUUGCACUUAAUGCACCUGCCUUUCCAAAGGGUUUUUAUUCCACUCUCAAAUGAGAUAAUGAAGCCCUUUAAUUUACUGUUCAACUCCCAAACAGAGUGAGUGGGUCAGGCCCGAGGAGAUGGAAGGCUGGACCCAGGCUCAGGAGGCCAAGUGCACCUGGCCUGGGACUGCCCGUCUCCUGGUGGGAGGCGGCACGGAGCCCCAGGCAGCCCAGGGUCAAUCCCGGCCUUGCAGCUUCCUUCCUGUGUAGCCCCAAGCAAGUUGCUUACUCUGUUGAAGCCUCGGUGUCAUCAUCUGUAGAGGGGAGAUGAAUGAUAGCACUGAUGCGGCAGGGCUGUGGUAAGGAUUAAGGGUGAUGUGGCUAAGUGGGCAGUGCCUGGCCUGGGUAGAUGCUCCAUAAAUGGCAGUUGUCAUUGGGUGGUCAAACAGCCCUGACACCCAAGAGGAGACCGUGCUGACCUUUGGUCCUGGGGAAUGCUUAUGUCCACGACUCUGCCUUAGAAUCACAGCAACAGCACCAAAUAAAAGAACCUUCAAGGCCUUUACCCCCUGCUCGUCUGCCUGUCCCAUCCUGACUGUUUCAGUGGAGCCAGCCUUUGUCUAUCAGACAAAUAGAAGGUAGAUGGAUGGCUGUAAAAGCCCAGCCGUGGGCAGCAUCAGAGCCUAUCCCUGCACCUUGCCCAAGCCUCCCUUUUGGACCUGGGAGCUCCUCCACUUCACUUGCCCUGGUUCUCACCCUCUUGUGGGCAUGUGUAUUCCAACACACAUGGUGGAGUAGGCUCUAGGUAUACCUAAGGGGGCCUCAUUAGAUUUGCGUUAAUUACAAUAGUCUCUCCCCCAACCCCGAAGCAAUAGAGUUGCUCAUUCUGACAACAUCAGUGUAUUAUGAUAAUUUUCCAAGCAUGGCAGUAAAGCAUCCCAGUAAGGGGUGUGUUUUCUCAUUUGCCCAAAGGUCAGUGUAGAUGGAUGUUUUACUCUCCUUCCAGCGCUGCUCCGGUGGCUUCCCUCUGCUCAUCCCCACCUUCCCCUUAUUGUAGGAUUCUGGCAUUUGUCCUCUGCUUCCUGCCUGGGGGGGACCAGCCAGGACUUGCACUCUUGGCCUCACUCCAGCCUGGCUUCCUGACCUGCUCUUGUCUGCUUGGUUCCUGACCCCCGAUUGGCUCCCGCUGACAUCCCCCUCCUCCCUUCACUCUGAACACAUACGUCUCUACCCUGCUCCGCUUGCUCCGACUUUAGCCCCCCUCCUGAUCAUCAUGCACACGCACCCCAUGUCUAUUCUUGCGUUGGCUGAUAACGGCCCUGAAAGAUACCCUUGUGCUAAUCCCUGGACCCUGUAAACUGUACCUUCUAUGGAAAAGGGGUCUUUGCAGAGUUCCCAUUGUGGUUCAGUGGUAAUGAACCCAACUAGUAUCCUUGAGAACUUGGGUUUGAUCCCUGGCCCUGCUCAGUGCAUUAAGGAUCUUGUGUUGCCGUGAGCUGGGGUACAGUUUGCGGAUGUGGCUCGGCUCCCAUGUUGCUGUGGCUGUGGUGUAGGCUGGCAGCUAUAGCUCUGAUUUGACCCCUAGCCUGGGAACUUCCAUAGGCUGCACAUGUAACCCUAAAAAAAAAAAGUAAAAAAAAAAGAAAAAAGAAAAGAAAGAAAAAGAAAAAGCGAAUGAGAUGGGAAGUGUAGCCUGGAUUAGCCAGGUGAGUCCAAUAUACUCAUGGUAUCUUUACAAGAGAGAGACAGAGGGAUAUUUGGCACAGAUGGAAGAGGAGAAGCUGAUGUGACCACAAAGGCAGAGGUUGAAGUACUGUGGCCACAAGCCAAGAAUGCUGGCCACCAUCAGAAUCCAGCCACCAGGAUUCUCUCUUGGAACUUCUGAAGGGAGCACAGCCUUGAUGAUACCUUGAUUUCUGCUGGUAAUACAGAUUUUGUAUUUCUGCCUUCCAGACCUGUGUGAGAAUAAAUUUCUGUUGUUUUAAGCCGCCAACUGUGUGCUCGUUUGUUACAGCAGUCGUAGGAAACUAGUUCUGUCAUCCUCUUUGGGAAAACCUUUUGCCUGGUCUAGGUUAGCUCUGGGCCCUGACUCUGUUCUGGUCCCCAUGGUCCUGGCCCUGAAAGGAGCUCCCUAGCCCUUCAGAUGGGGCCUGGGUGCAGAUGCUGCAAUGCCAGAUCCCACUCCAGGUGGGGGAGCCUGGGGAACUUUGUAUCAACUGCAUAGGCAUUAUCUGCUGGCGAUCUCCCACAGGGCCCCCGGGGUGGUAGACCUCCUAAGAAAACAUUAAUCUUAUCUUUUCUCCCCUAUAAAAUGAUCAAGGCUUGUUAUGGGUGGGGAACAGAUCAGACUGUUCAAAAGAGCAUUUGCUGAGGUCCUACCGUGUCUUAAGCUAUGUGAUGGGCACCUGAUACUUGUUACCUCGUCGAAGUUAUCUUUCUCUAGUCUGGAAGUAAAAAUGGGGCAAUAUCAAUGGUAAUAAAAAGUAUUCCUCUGGGAGUUCCUGUCGUGGCGCAUUGGUUAAUGAAUCCGACUAGGAACCAUGA